rnacentral:rRNA from 1 species
GAUGAACGCUGGCGGCGUGCCUAAUACAUGCAAGUCGAGCGAACGGACGAGAAGCUUGCUUCUCUGAUGUUAGCGGCGGACGGGUGAGUAACACGUGGAUAACCUACCUAUAAGACUGGGAUAACUUCGGGAAACCGGAGCUAAUACCGGAUAAUAUUUUGAACCGCAUGAUUCAAAAGUGAAAGACGGUCUUGCUGUCACUUAUAGAUGGAUCCGCGCUGCAUUAGCUAGUUGGUAAGGUAACGGCUUACCAAGGCAACGAUGCAUAGCCGACCUGAGAGGGUGAUCGGCCACACUGGAACUGAGACACGGUCCAGACUCCUACGGGAGGCAGCAGUAGGGAAUCUUCCGCAAUGGGCGAAAGCCUGACGGAGCAACGCCGCGUGAGUGAUGAAGGUCCUUGGAUCGUAAAACUCUGUUAUUAGGGAAGAACAUAUGUGUAAGUAACUGUGCACAUCUUGACGGUACCUAAUCAGAAAGCCACGGCUAACUACGUG